rnacentral:rRNA from 1 species
CCUACGGGUGGCAGCAGUGGGGAAUAUUGGACAAUGGGCGAAAGCCUGAUCCAGCCAUGCCGCGUGUGUGAAGAAGGCCUUCGGGUUGUAAAGCACUUUCAGUGGGGAAGAAAGCCUUGGGGCUAAUACCCUCGAGGAAGGACAUCACCCACAGAAGAAGCACCGGCUAACUCCGUGCCAGCAGCCGCGGUAAUACGGAGGGUGCGAGCGUUAAUCGGAAUUACUGGGCGUAAAGCGCGCGUAGGCGGUCUGAUAAGCCGGUUGUGAAAGCCCCGGGCUCAACCUGGGAACGGCAUCCGGAACUGUCAGGCUAGAGUGCAGGAGAGGAAGGUAGAAUUCCCGGUGUAGCGGUGAAAUGCGUAGAGAUCGGGAGGAAUACCAGUGGCGAAGGCGGCCUUCUGGACUGACACUGACGCUGAGGUGCGAAAGCGUGGGGAGCAAACAGGAUUAGAUACCCGAGUAGUC